GGAUAGAGGCGCAGAUUUUAUCAGUAAAUUCAGGUUAUAAUGCCAAAUUUGUUUGAGCCUGUUUUGAAAGGAAAAUUUGCCGAAGGGAACAAAAGGGCAUUUGUUUACCUGGGGUUAUGUCGAAUAGGCAUAAAACUGUCAUCAAUUUUAUUGAUGGGGAGCUACCG
rnacentral:ncRNA from 1 species